GAAGGUAUAGCUCAGUGGUGGAGCACGUGCUCAGCACGCACAAGGUCCUGGGCUCAAUCCCUACUACCUCCA
rnacentral:tRNA from 1 species